rnacentral:lncRNA from 1 species
UCGUCAGUCACUGUACUCAAACAAAGUGAGCAUCGUCCUCCUCCUCCAACAUGUGUUGUGCUGUACCCACUAAGCAUAAUGUUGUUCCCACUGAGCAUCCUUGAACACCCAAUGAGAGGUUCUGUGUUUAAUGUGUUCAUCAUAGUGACUGUUCCUCUAGAGUGGUUCUGUGUUUAAUGUGUUCAUCAUAGUGACUGUUCCUCUAGAGUGGUUCUGUGUUUAAUGUGUUCAUCAUAGUGACUGUUCCUCUAGAGUGGUUCUGUGUUUAAUGUGUUCAUCAUAGUGACUGUUCCUCUAGUGGUUCUGUGUUUAAUGUGUUCAUCAUAGUGACUGUUCCUCUAGUGGUUCUGUGUUUAAUGUGUU